rnacentral:lncRNA from 1 species
GAGAUUAACCAUAUCCCAUGAUUUAAGGGAUUUACAAGAUAUUGCCAAAUCAAAUCCUAUCUAAUCUUACAAGAUAUGAUUCCCUCUAUCUUUGAAGAUUAGUUACCAUAGUUUCCUAAGUUGCCAUAUCUUCACUAUUGGGCCAACCAGGCUUCAAUUUGACAGGCUUCUCUAUCAGUUCCUUGAAUCGGGCCAACUCUCGUGGGCUAAAUGAUCCCCAUCUUAUCGAUAGACCUCCAUGGGGCGCAUCUUGUGCCAUGGUCACGGGCCUUGCACUCUGACCUGUGACAUUCUCCCUCACCCAUUCUCACAACGCCCUCGUUGCGACUUCCGAAUGGCAUUGACUUGAUUCACCUUGGAUCCCUCUCGUUGCCUUGGCUUCC